rnacentral:rRNA from 1 species
AUUGAACGCUGGCGGCAUGCCUUACACAUGCAAGUCGAACGGCAGCGCGGGAGCUUGCUCCUGGCGGCGAGUGGCGAACGGGUGAGUAAUACAUCGGAACGUGUCCGUUUGUGGGGGACAACCAGCCGAAAGGUUGGCUAAUACCGCAUAAGACCUGACGGUGAAAGCCGGGGACCGCAAGGCCUGGCGCAGACGGAGCGGCCGCUGAUUGAUUAGCUUGUUGGCGGGGUAAAGGCCCACCAAGGCGACGAGCAAUAGCUGGUCUGAGAGGACGACCAGCCACACUGGAACUGAGACACGGUCCAGACUCCUACGGGAGGCAGCAGUGGGGAAUUUUGGACAAUGGGGGCAACCCUGAUCCAGCCAUGCCGCGCGCGGGAAGAAGGCCUUCGGGUUGUAAACCGCUUUUGUCAGGGACGAAAAGGGACGGGUUAAGAGCUAGCUCCGCUGACGGUACCUGAAGAAUAAGCACCGGCUAACUGCGUGCCAGCCGCCGCCGUAA